UACGUAGGGGGCAAGCGUUGUCCGGAAUUAUUGGGCGUAAAGGGUGCGUAGGCGGUCUGAUAAGUCAUCUGUGAAAUCUAUGGGCUCAACCCAUAGUCUGCAGGCGAAACUGUCGGGCUUGAGUAUGGGAGAGGUGAGUGGAAUUUCCGGUGUAGCGGUGAAAUGCGUAGAUAUCGGAAGGAACACCUGUGGCGAAAGCGGCUCACUGGACCAUUACUGACGCUGAUGCACGAAAGCUAGGGGAGCAAACAGG
rnacentral:rRNA from 1 species